rnacentral:rRNA from 1 species
AUUGAACGCUGGCGGCAUGCUUUACACAUGCAAGUCGAACGGUAACAGGCCUUCGGGUGCUGACGAGUGGCGAACGGGUGAGUAAUGCAUCGGAACGUACCCAGAGGUGGGGGAUAACGCAGCGAAAGCUGUGCUAAUACCGCAUGUGAUCUGAGGAUGAAAGCGGGGGACCGAGCAGCAAUGUUUGGCCUCGCGCCUUUGGAGCGGCCGAUGUCGGAUUAGCUAGUUGGUGGGGUAAAGGCCUACCAAGGCGACGAUCCGUAGCUGGUCUGAGAGGACGACCGGCCCCACGGGAAUGGGGAACCGGCCCAGACUCCAACGGGAGGCAGCAUUGGGGAAUUUUGGACAAGGGGCGAAAGCCUGACCCAGCAAGGCGGCGGGGGGGAAGAAGGCCUUCGGGUUGUAACCGCUUUUGGCAGGAACGAAACGGUGUCCGCUAAUACCGGGCGCUAAUGACGGUACCUGCAGAAUAAGCACCGGCUAACUACGUG